rnacentral:rRNA from 1 species
AUUGAACGCUGGCGGCAUGCUUUACACAUGCAAGUCGAACGGUAACAGGUUAAGCUGACGAGUGGCGAACGGGUGAGUAAUGCAUCGGAACGUGCCCAGUCGUGGGGGAUAACGCAGCGAAAGCUGCGCUAAUACCGCAUACGAUCUAAGGAUGAAAGCGGGGGACCGUAAGGCCUCGCGCGAUCGGAGCGGCCGAUGUCAGAUUAGGUAGUUGGUGGGGUAAAGGCUCACCAAGCCAACGAUCUGUAGCUGGUCUGAGAGGACGACCAGCCACACUGGGACUGAGACACGGCCCAGACUCCUACGGGAGGCAGCAGUGGGGAAUUUUGGACAAUGGGCGAAAGCCUGAUCCAGCAAUGCCGCGUGCAGGAAGAAGGCCUUCGGGUUGUAAACUGCUUUUGUACGGAGCGAAAAGGUCUCCUCUAAUACAGGGGGCUCAUGACGGUACCGUAAGAAUAAGCACCGGCUAACUACGCGCCAGCCGCCGCAGUAA